CUUUCAGGUGUAGUUGGGUGUAUUAUGUCACAUUCAGGUGUAUGUGGGGUUUAUUAUGUCAUCGCCAGAUGUGCAGUGACAUAGAGCUGUGGUAAGAAGAUGAAUUUAACUGGAAUCUCUGUCUCUGUGUUUUGUUCACAGGGUCCAGGUAGAAAGAGCUGGGUCACCUGUACCCAGCUGUGUGUCUCUGAAGAGUGAUCAUUCAAUGCCACUUCCACUCACUUUCAGAGGAGAGUUCACAGGUGAUCAAAGGGUCCAGGUAGAAAGAGCAGGGUCACCUGCACCCAGCUGUCUGUCUAUGAAGAGUGAUCAUUCAAUGCCACUUCCA